AAGACUGGAUAGGAAACAAAAAGGCAUCUUUUUGUUUUUAAAAGACCUUCUUAUGAAGGUAUGCUUAAAGAGGGGCUUGCGCCACAUUAGUUAGUUGGUAGGGUAAAAGCCUACCAAGACGAUGAUGUGUAGCUGGACUGAGAGGUUGAACAGCCACAUUGGGACUGAGACACGGCCCAAACUCCUACGGGAGGCAGCAGUAGGGAAUUUUCGGCAAUGGAGGAAACUCUGACCGAGCAACGCCGCGUGAACGAUGAAGUAUUUCGGUAUGUAAAGUUCUUUUAUUGAAGAAGAAAAAGUAGUGGAAAAACUAUAUUGACGUUAGUCAAUGAAUAAGCCCCGGCUAACUAUGUGCCAGCAGCCGCGGUAAGACAUAGGGGGCGAGCGUUAUCCGGAAUUAUUGGGCGUAAAGGGUGCGUAGGCUGUUAGAUAAGUCUAUAAUUUAAUUUCAGUGCUUAACGCUGUCUUGUUAUAGAAACUGUCUUGACUAGAGUGAGAUAGAGGCAAGCGGAAUUCCAUGUGUAGCGGUAAAAUGUGUAAAUAUAUGGAGGAACACCAGAAGCGUAGGCGGCUUGCUGGGUCUUUACUGACGCUGAGGCACGAAAGCGUGGGUAGCAAACAGGAGUAGAUACCCUGGUAGUCCACGCCGUAAACGAUGAGUACUAAGUGUCGGGGUAAAACUCGGUACUGAAGUUAACACAUUAAGUACUCCGCCUGAGUAGUACGUACGCAAGUAUGAAACUUAAAGGAAUUGACGGGACUCCGCACAAGCGGUGGAUCAUGUUGUUUAAUUCGAAGAUACACGAAAAAUCUUACCAGGUCUUGACAUACUCUGCAAAGCUAUAGAAAUAUAGUGGAGGUUAUCAGGGAUACAGGUGGUGCAUGGUUGUCGUCAGUUCGUGUCGUGAGAUGUUAGGUUAAGUCCUAAAACGAGCGCAACCCUUGUCGUUAAUUGCCAGCACGUAAUGGUGGGGACUUUAGCGAGACUGCCAAUUAAACAUUGGAGGAAGGUGAGGAUUACGUCAAAUCAUCAUGCCCCUUAUGAUCUGGGCUACAAACGUGAUACAAUGGCUGUGACAAAGAGUAGCUGAAACGCGAGUUUUUAGCCAAUCUCAAAAAAGCAGUCUCAGUUCGGAUUGAAGUCUGUAACUCGACUUCAUGAAGUUGGAAUCGCUAGUAAUCGCGAAUCAGCAUGUCGCGGUGAAUACGUUCUCGGGGUUUGUAC
rnacentral:rRNA from 1 species